AGGCCUUUAGGACCCAGAAAUCUUGAUGAUCUCCAAGCUGCCGGCUGCCUCUCACCCUUCACUGCAGUGGCUCUGUGCAUCAUCUCCAGUGGAGGAGCAUCAGCUGAGAGGUCCCCAGUACUCUGGCAAGCUGCACAGGGAAAGGUAGGAGCUGAUGCCUGGAUUGGGGACAGGAGAGGGCUGGGUCCGGCUAGGCUGCAGCAUUUCUCUCUGCAUCCCCAGGUAUCUGGAGUGUCUCAGUCGAUGGGAGAAACGCACAGAGCCAAGUCCAGUCUCCUGACUGAAACCUCAAGGAGCUGGAGCGGAACCGGAGCUGGGCACCCGAGCUCUGGCCACCAGGGACUCCAGGAUCCAUUUUAAUGGAGGGGCGAGGACCUGAGCUGGGCGGAGGCAGCCCUUCAGAGGGUCACGCUGGAAGCCAGUUCAGCAGCACCAGGGCGAAGGAAUGAGCAGGGCCAGGCUGGAUUUCGCUCUGCUCGCCUAGCCUGGCUCUCUUCCCUUCCGCCCCUGGCCGGGGCCUGCUGGCAGGAUGCUGGGGCUCGCUGCGCAGGUGGAAAGCACAGGGUGCCCUCCUCCCCAGGUGCUGCUUUCAGCAGAUCCAUUAACCACUACUUCACCUGUUGGGGAGUUUUCCAUCAGAGCAAUUCCGUGUUUAGGAAUCAAAUUUAGGGCCAGAUCUUCAGCCUUAGUUCCAUUGGAGUCUAUGGAGCAAAGCCAAUGAUCACCAGCUGAGGAUCUGGUAUGUCUGAGCUCUCCCACACCAUUAGAUUCAGGAUACAUAGCUCUGCUGAAGCUGCCAUCUGAGCACCCAGAACUAGAUCUGUGUGGAGAAUGGGAAUUCUGUGCUGCAAAGGAUUUUGAGAUUUCAAAAUCUGGCUUCAUUCUGAAUCCGAGUGAAAACUGAACAUUUUGAAAUUCUCCACUCAGGAAAAUUCUGA
rnacentral:lncRNA from 1 species